GUAUGCCCGAAUACUGUGUUCUCUUUAUCAUUAGUAGCUUCCAAGACUCUAUGCAAAAGUAAAGUCUCCCCUCUAAAAUGGCUAUGAUGGUAUGCCAAGUUUUUUCAUAGCAUAUCAUUACUAAAAGUGGGCAUAAAU